rnacentral:rRNA from 1 species
AGAAUCAACGCUGGCGGCGUGCCUAACACAUGCAAGUCGAACGAGAAAGGGUAGCAAUACCUGAGUAAAGUGGCGCACGGGUGAGUAACACGUGACUAACCUACCCUGGAGUGGGGGAUAACUGAGGGAAACCUUAGCUAAUACCGCAUAAUACCUACGGGUCAAAGGAGCAAUUCGCUUUGGGAGGGGGUCGCGGCCGAUUAGUUAGUUGGCGGGGUAAUGGCCCACCAAGACAGUGAUCGGUAUCCGGCCUGAGAGGGCGCACGGACACACUGGAACUGAAACACGGUCCAGACUCCUACGGGAGGCAGCAGUGGGGAAUUUUGCGCAAUGGGGGAAACCCUGACGCAGCAACGCCGCGUGGAGGAUGAAGUACUUCGGUACGUAAACUCCUUUCGAUCGGGACGAUAAUGACGGUACCGGAAGAAGAAGCCCGGCUAACUUCGCGCCAGCAGCCGC